rnacentral:misc_RNA from 1 species
AACGCACAUUGCGCCCAUUAGUAUUCUAUUGGGCAUGCCUGUUCGAGCGUCAUUUCAACCCUUAAGCUCAGCUUAGUAUUGGGAAUCUACCGCGAGCGGUGCUACCCUGUAGCUACCCUGUAGUUCCUCAAAUCUAACGGCGGAGUUAUAGUUACCUCUGAGCGCAGUAAUUCUUAUCACGCUUUGGAAGGUGCUAUAGCCUCAGCCGCUAAACCCCCCAAUUUAUAAUGGUUGACCUCGGAUCAGGUAGGAAUACCCGCUGAACUUAA